rnacentral:lncRNA from 1 species
AUACAAACACACUGCAAUCGUCCUCAAACUAUUAAUAAAGAAUAUGCCACCAUAGUGCAACAUAGUAUUACAUAUGGAUAUUUGCCCUACUUUGUACAAACAUUAUGGGACUUCAUAUAGAGGAAUACUGGACAGUUGCAUGAUGCAAUACAGACCCAUACACAAGAACAGCCUCAGACAUAUUUGGCAUCUGUUUCAUGCUCGAUUCCAGUGCAACCACUUGGAGAAGCGCUUGGAAAGAAAAACCUCACAUUAUCAUAUAAUAGACUCAAUACUGCGUACCAUAUGAUAAAGAAUAUCGGGGCCCCAAUU